rnacentral:rRNA from 1 species
GACGAACGCUGGCGGCGUGCUUAACACAUGCAAGUCGAACGGAAAGGCCCUGCUUUUGUGGGGUGCUCGAGUGGCGAACGGGUGAGUAACACGUGAGUCACCUGCCCUUGACUUUGGGAUAACUUCAGGAAACUGGGGCUAAUACCGGAUAGGAGCUCCUGCUGCAUGGUGGGGGUUGGAAAGUUUCGGCGGUUGGGGAUGGACUCGCGGCUUAUCAGCUUGUUGGUGGGGUAGUGGCUUACCAAGGGUUUGACGGGUAGCCGGCCUGAGAGGGUGACCGGCCACAUUGGGACUGGGAUACGGCCCAGACGCCUACGGGAGGCAGCAGUGGGGAAUAUUGGACAAUGGGUGGAAGCCUGAGGCAGCAACGCCGUGUGCGGGAUGAGGGGCUUCGGGUUGUAAACCGCUUUCGCUCAAGACGAAGCUUUGUGUGACGGUAGUGGGUAAAGAAGCACCGGCUAACUACGUG